rnacentral:sRNA from 1 species
CGCAGCCGCGGUAAUUCCAGCUCCAAUAGCGUAUAUUAAAGUUGUUGCAGUUAAAAAGCUCGUAGUUGAAUUUCGGGAUCAGUUGGUCGGUCGUGCCUCGGUACGUACUGGUCAAAUUGAUUCCUACCUUCUGACGAAUCACGAUGUCAUUAAUUUGGUGUCGCGGGGAAUCAGGACUGUUACUUUGAAAAAUUAGAGUGUUUAAAGCAGGCUCGCGCUUGAAUACAUUAGCAUGGAAUAAUGAAAUAGGACGUUUGAUUCUAUUUUGUUGGUUUCUAGGAUCGACGUAAUGAUUAAUAGGGAUAGUUGGGGGCAUUAGUAUUCAAUUGUCAGAGGUGAAAUUCUUGGAUUUAUUGAAGACUAACUACUGCGAAAGCAUUUGCCAAGGAUGUUUUCAUUAAUCAAGAACGAAAGUUAGGGGAUCGGAGACGAUCAGAUACCGUCGUAGUCUUAACCAUAAACUAUGCCGACUAGGGAUCGGAUGAUGUAAUUUUUAAUGACUCAUUC